GAGAAAUAAAGAGAGAUAAGGACAGAGAAAUGACCACUGGCUUUGGCAGUACCAAGGAGUCCAAUAUGAGGUAUUAAGGGGAUUAAGAUGGAAGAUGGAGCCUCAGAGAGCUGGAGACUAUGAACAACACAACCAGGUGGCAAAACCGGUCAGGGAACCCAGAUAUCUAAAUUCUGAGCUCUUCUACGUUUAUUCCUCCAGUGUCGGGGUCCUAUUGUCUAGACAUAGGACGUGUGCUAUCCUGGGAUGAAGAAGGACUUACAGAAAUGGAGGCUUACUCAGAGAGAAGGCUCAGGAUGGUUAUUCUGAGAAACUGCACCCAGAAAUAGCUCUGGAAAUCUGUUCUUCGGCUGAAGAAGUUUCCAUCAGUCUGCAGCAGUGGAGAGGAAGCAGCGGACGCAGACAGAAGCUUCCUGGAUCUGCCUCCAAAGAGUCUGGGAGCACCUCCCCAGGCAGAGGUGACCACGUGGCCUUCUGAGGCCCUCCUGGCCUGGCAGGGCAGCCUCUGGUCAUCCAAGCCAGCACUCCCUUGGCCGAAGUCCUCACCUGCCCACAUCCAGGAAACCCCCAAACCUUAGUCCUUUGUU